UACGAAGGGGGCGAGCGUUGUUCGGAAUCGACUGGGCGUAAAGGGCGCGUAGGCGGCCCUCUUAGUCGCGUGUGAAAGCCCCGGGCUCAACCUGGGAACGGCGCGCGAAACGGGAGGGCUGGAGUUCGGGAGAGGAGAGUGGAAUUCCCAGUGUAGAGGUGAAAUUCGUAGAUAUCGAGAGGAACACCGGUGGCGAAGGCGGCCUUCUGGACAGUGACGUGACGCUGAGACGCGAAAGCGGUGGGGAGCAAACAGGG
rnacentral:rRNA from 1 species